AAGCGGAAGUGGCGUAGCGCGGGAGCGGCGGCGGAUGCGGAGUGGGAGGCGGCAGCUUGGGCGGGCGCUGGAAAGCGAACCCGAACGUGCGGCGGCCGCUCGCUGGGCAGAGACCACCGUGGGCCCCGCUGUCCGCUCGCCACCGGGCCUUUGCGCGCAGCCGCUCCGCGCUGCCCUGGGGCGGACGCCCCCAGCAUGCCUGCUGUUUCUUUGCACGUCUGACGUCCUCUCGUCUUGCUACAGUAUUCCUUCCCUGACGCCCACCCCCACCUUGACCCCCUUCUCUGUGUUCCCGAUGACCUCUGAUGCUUAACCUGUCACAAUGUGUUGUCUUUUGACCCCAUCAGAAUGUAAAUUCCCUGAGAGCCGGGAUUCUGCAGAGCAAGUUCAAAGCAACUGCUUAGAAUUGAAGCAAAAAGGGUUUUCCAUACGUUGAGUUAAAAAUCCAGAGCAUGAAAGGAUUUUGGGUAAAAAUUCAGGGUCCUGCCCAUCCCUGAUGGCUGAGCAGCCUGGGUUACCCGUUCUCCGGGAAGACAUACUGCAGUUUCUUAUGUGUCAACAGGAAAAGUCUGUGCACGGACAUCUAAUAUGUUUAUACAAAACUUAGGGCCCUUUACGUGUGAUCCUUUUACCCCUCGUGGCUUAGAGGGUGCUCUCUGUGUUCCAGCUUGCAGAUUUUAAUCAUUGCGCCAUGUUUUAUUGGUACUGUAAUUUAUCCUAUUUCCCCGUUGGUAGAAAUUUAGGUCUUUUCCUGUCUUUGUAACAAGUAAUGCUAGACUGUUUCUCCUACAUUUGUACCCAUGUAGGAAUAUUUCUGUAGGCUGAAUUCCUUCGUGGAGAAGUGCUAGGUCAACGGGCUUUCCUAAGAAAGUACAGAGGCGGCGACGAAUACCCCCGUUGCUGACGCUCCAUUAGGCGUGACUAGUGUUUCAUUGUGGCUUUGUGUUUCUUACAGGGAUAAUAAAAUAUCUCAGUUC